rnacentral:lncRNA from 10 species
CUAUUGCUCCCCUUCUCUCUUUGUACUCAGAAAAUCCAGGAAAUUCUUCCUCAAGAAAGCAUGACCCAUUUCAGCCUAAAAGCGUGCUUUUCUCUGGACUGUGCUGGCUUGAGAACAUAUUUCUUUUACCAAAAAAUGAGUUCACAGUAAGUGACUCAGAAGCAUAUGGAUGAAAUUUCCUUUAAGCCACUCAAGGGAUUAGAAAUUAAGGGAAAGAGUGCCUGGCAAAAUGCAUUUGGGGUUUUGCCAAGCCCAAACCAACUGAGAAAUAGUUAAGACACAAGGCAGAUCUCAAAUGCUGCCAAGUUUACCCAUCUUAGCAGGACAGGGAUUUAUAAUUAGAGCUGCUCAGAAAAGCACUGCCUUACGGGUGGCAAAGGACAAAAAAGGCUUUGUCCCCAACAUCUCCACAGGCUGCGGUUUCCCAGAUGGGCCCUUAACAGUGUACACACCCUCUCCAUCGCCAGGGUCCUCAAAGCCACCGCCUCUACCAAGCAAGGUUCGACUUCUACACCACGCCCCUGACAUUCUCUCCAGGCCUCUUUUGUUUCUGGCCCAGGCUGGAUGCAUCACACUGUGAAUUCCUGGAUGAGGAAGAACAAAUCUUGCGGAGUGUUCUGGAAUUACAGAGGAGAGCCAUAAUGGGAAAAUGUGACAAAGCAAUUCCCUUCUCUGACAUACACAUUUUACCCCUGUCUCUCACCUUUGUCACGUUUCCCCAUUUUUUCACCUUCUGUGGGUUUCUUUUUCUGUAAAAUGAAGGGAUUGGAUCUGCUGGUUUCAAACUGUGCUACCUGGAGCCACUUGCGGGCCUGGCGGGGCCCAGUGGAAGUGGAUGGGGAGAUGGUGAGAAGGGCUCUCUUCAAAAAAAGCAGGAGGGGGCUCCAACAUAGCAUUUCAAGGAAAUCAAGGGAUCCAAAGUUAAACAAUUUGAAAAUCACAAGUCUGGACGAAGUCUCAUUGUUCUUUCCAACUGAACACUGCCGGUGUGGUGUGCCUCACUUCUCAGUCUCCAUUCACUAACCCAAAUAUCCCCAAAGAUGUGCACCAAUUUUUCUGUCUAGCAUUCAUCAGAGUGCUCCUGUGUGCCAGGCCCUCUGCUAAGCACUGGGCAUACAGCAGUGAACAGAAACCCCAGGGGGCUCAUAGACCAGUUGGGAAGAUUGGCAUUAAACAAAUGAAUAUGUAAAUCCAAAUCAAGAGGUAUGAACACCAUGAAAGACAAAAUCAUGGUUGAAAGUUGAGUGGGCCUGGGGUUGGAGAGAUACUGCCCUAAGCAUCUCCCCUCCCCACCUGGCUUGCCACUUGCCCCUUUAUAGAAUAACUAAUCGUUGUUCAGUCUUUGAUAGUUUCCACUGAAAACAUCCCUCUUCUACCUGACAGAGGAGGGUCAAGACACCCAGAGCACAAAGGAGCUGAUGGGUUUAGUUAGCUGUUACUGCGGAAAGCCAAGAGGAUGAGCUUGAGAGAACAGACUGAGGGCUUUAGAUGGGUGAAUGUGAGAAAGUCUACAGUGCUUGCUGUGCUGAGGAAAAAAUCCAGGUGGAUCACCUGGAGGUGACCCAAAGUGCCAAUGAAGUGCAUGUCAAUGGCCCUCUUCACAUACUUCACUACUGUAUCUGGAGCUCUCCUGAACAUCUUUCUCCCAUUCCUCACUGAGUUUUGCUAGACAUGGCAAAUGUUAACUCAUUACCAACUCUUAAUUGUAUUGCUGUUUCUUUGCCCCUGUCUAGCUCUUUCUAUUUGUACAUUUUGUAAAGAGAAAAGGAAUUUAAAAAAUAAAACCAAAACAAUCUCUGG